rnacentral:rRNA from 1 species
CAGUCGAGCGAAUCUGAGGGAGCUUGCUCCCAAAGAUUAGCGGCGGACGGGUGAGUAACACGUGGGCAACCUGCCUGUAAGACUGGGAUAACUCCGGGAAACCGGGGCUAAUACCGGAUAAUAUCUAUUUAUACAUAUAAUUAGAUUGAAAGAUGGUUCUGCUAUCACUUACAGAUGGGCCCGCGGCGCAUUAGCUAGUUGGUGAGGUAACGGCUCACCAAGGCGACGAUGCGUAGCCGACCUGAGAGGGUGAUCGGCCACACUGGGACUGAGACACGGCCCAGACUCCUACGGGAGGCAGCAGUAGGGAAUCUUCCGCAAUGGACGAAAGUCUGACGGAGCAACGCCGCGUGAGUGAUGAAGGUUUUCGGAUCGUAAAACUCUGUUGUUAGGGAAGAACAAGUACCGGAGUAACUGCCGGUACCUUGACGGUACCUAACCAGAAAGCCACGGCUAACUACGUGCCAGCAGCCGCGGUAAUACGUAGGUGGCAAGCGUUGUCCGGAAUUAUUGGGCGUAAAGCGCGCGCAGGCGGUUCCUUAAGUCUGAUGUGAAAGCCCACGGCUCAACCGUGGAGGGUCAUUGGAAACUGGGGAACUUGAGUGCAGAAGAGGAAAGUGGAAUUCCAAGUGUAGCGGUGAAAUGCGUAGAGAUUUGGAGGAACACCAGUGGCGAAGGCGACUUUCUGGUCUGUAACUGACGCUGAGGCGCGAAAGCGUGGGGAGCAAACAGGAUUAGAUACCCUGGUAGUCCACGCCGUAAACGAUGAGUGCUAAGUGUUAGAGGGUUUCCGCCCUUUAGUGCUGCAGCAAACGCAUUAAGCACUCCGCCUGGGGAGUACGACCGCAAGGUUGAAACUCAAAGGAAUUGACGGGGG